AUUGAACGCUGGCGGCAUGCCUUACACAUGCAAGCCGAACGGCAGCACGGGAGCAAUCCUGGUGGCGAGUGGCGAACGGGUGAGUAAAGUAUCGGAACGUGCCCAGUCGUGGGGGAUAACGUAGCGAAAGUUACGCUAAUACCGCAUACGAUCUAUGGAUGAAAGCGGGGAAUCGCAAGACCUCGCGCGAUUGGAGCGGCCGAUAUCAGAUUAGGUAGUUGGUGGGGUAAAGGCUCACCAAGCCGACGAUCUGUAGCUGGUCUGAGAGGACGACCAGCCACACUGGAGCGGAGACACGGCCCGGACUCCUACGGGAGGCAGCAGUGGGGAAUUUUGGACAAUGGGCGAAAGCCUGAUCCAGCCAUGCCGCGUGCAGGAUGAAGGCCUUCGGGUUGUAAACUGCUUUUGUACGGAACGAAAAGGUUUGGGCUAAUAAGCUGAGCUCAUGACGGUACCGUAAGAAUAAGCACCGGCUAACUACGUGCCAGCCGCCGCGGUAA
rnacentral:rRNA from 1 species